CAAUGGGGGCAACCCUGAUCCAGCCAUGCCGCGUGUGUGAAGAAGGCCCUCGGGUUGUAAAGCACUUUCAGCGAGGAAGAACGCCUAGCGGUUAAUACCCGCUAGGAAAGACAUCACUCGCAGAAGAAGCACCGGCUAACUCCGUGCCAGCAGCCGCGGUAAUACGGAGGGUGCAAGCGUUAAUCGGAAUUACUGGGCGUAAAGCGCGCGUAGGUGGCUUGAUAAGCCGGUUGUGAAAGCCCCGGGCUCAACCUGGGAACGGCAUCCGGAACUGUCAGGCUAGAGUGCAGGAGAGGAAGGUAGAAUUCCCGGUGUAGCGGUGAAAUGCGUAGAGAUCGGGAGGAAUACCAGUGGCGAAGGCGGCCUUCUGGACUGACACUGACACUGAGGUGCGAAAGCGUGGGUAGCAAACAGGAUUAGAUACCCUGGUAGUCCACGCCGUAAACGAUGUCGACCAGCCGUUGGGUGCCUAGCGCACUUUGUGGCGAAGUUAACGCGAUAAGUCGACCGCCUGGGGAGUACGGCCGCAAGGUU
rnacentral:rRNA from 1 species